UACGGAGGGUGCAAGCGUCAUCCGGAUUCACUGGGUUUAAAGGGUGCGUAGGUGGACUUAUAAGUCAGUUGUGAAAGCCCGGAGCUCAACUCCGGAACUGCCAUUGAUACUGUAGGUCUUGAGUACACUUGAGGUGGGCGGAAUACAUCAUGUAGUGGUGAAAUACUUAGAUAUGAUGUAGAACACCGAUUGCGAAGGCAGCUCACUAAAUUGUAACUGACACUGAGGCACGAAAGCGUGGGGAUCAAAC
rnacentral:rRNA from 1 species